GGCAAGGUGGCCGAGUGGUUAAGGCGCUAGACUUAGGCGGAGUGCCCAAAAAUCUAGUGGGAAACCUCGCGAGUUCGAAUCUCGUCCUUGUCA